rnacentral:lncRNA from 1 species
GCCUUCGCACGUGAGCCCAGGAUAACACCGUAUGCACGAUAGGUCCAUGAUACAACAUUCCAGGUACAAGAAUAUUCAUCAAAUACAUGUGUAUAUGAGUACAUCAGUGAUGAAUAUAAUCUUCUGGCAUAGCCCUAAGGCUAUUUACAUGGCAGCGGAAGUCCAUUUAAAUGGCGGCGGAAGUCUUGGCAGCAUAUCACUCUAGCCGGGCUCCACAACUCACAGGACUAGCAAGAUUACGGCCUAGCACGACGGAACAAGAGAACGACCUACAAAACUGGCAUGACACGCCAGGUCAGUACAUUGAAUGUACUUUCAAUACAACCAAAUACAUAGCAUCCAAACAAGCAGAAGACAAAGCAUGAACCAAGCGAAUGCAACAACCUAUCUUAUAUCAAUUACUAAACAUGGCAUGAUAUCAACCAAAGACAUAAAUCAAACUAACAUCAUGACAUCUACUAGCAUGGCAACAACAUGGCAUAGCAAAUUUACUUCUAACAUGGAAAUAGCAAAACAUAGCAUAUCAUCUCAACAUAGCAAUCAACGCAUGGCAUGACAUCACGAAACUAUGCUGAAAAUAAACUACCAAUCAUAUCAAAUGCAGACAUAGCAUGUUAAUUGUAUGCAACCAUCUCAUGUUCUACCAUGGUCCUUUAAAUGCAAACAUAUUACUCAUGCAAUGCCACCAAACUUGUGCGCUGAGUCCCUCGGACUCUCUUACCAACGGUGAUGACCUCAUUUCCUGAUCACCAAUAGAGACAAACUCGUGAUCCUUAUGGCGAUCACAACCCGACCAAUAAAUGGCCCGUGAUCCUUAUGGUGAUCACAACCACGAUCAAUAACUGGCCCGUGAUCCUUACGGCGAUCACAACCACAUUAAUCGGCUUAAUUAUUUCAGGUUUAUCCUCCAUUUUGACCAAGACCCGAUAGUGUACCCUACUACGAACUUGUGCCCAUGACCGAGGACGCGGCUAUCGAUAGUUUAAAUAUACUCUGCAGAGGUAGCGCACUGUACCCACACCACAGAACCCAUGGCCUCGUCAUCCCAUUCAGGUGGACCAACGGCGUUCUGACAAAACCGAUCUACUGCCAUGACACUCUCCCGGCCACUCCAACUCACUCCCCUCUGGGCUAAGUCAUGGGUGGCCCCGUGUCUACCUCAAGACACCUCAAUCCACCAUCGUGGCAAAACAAAAAUGACCCCCCACGGGGACAAAAGCGCGCAAAAUCCAACUACGGGCACACAAGGCUUAUGUCCGCCUACCUAAUCAGGGUAGCGCGCUCCCAUAACAUUCCCUCGUUGGAGGCACCGGCGAGAGGCACGACAAUAUACCGCAUUAGGGCCGUCCCAUACCGGCAAAUGUGGUUGCACUGGAAAAGUUCGAUUUGGCGGCACUAUGACUCGAUCCCAUCGGUGAUGGAGGUUUUUUUAUUAAGUCAUAUUAUUAUCUUCUCCAUCAUCAAUCAUCAUACAAGCAUUUUUAACAUGAAUGUAACAAUGAUCAUACAUCAUACAAAUGCUUUAAUAACAUAUCGAACUUCUCAAGUGAACAACUACAUCAUAAAGAACAUAACAAUACCAAGUACUAACUUAUCCACAGUGUAUCAUAGCAUUUUAUAACGAUGACACGAAAAUAAAGUAGAGUAGUGACAUGGCAUAAUCAAUAUCAACAUUCUAACUAGCAGGGCAAGAGAUAGCAUACAAGCAUGCAUGGUAAGCAUAAUGAAAUGACUGCAAUGAAAACGAUAAGAAACAACUGCAACUACACACACACAAGGUGGAAGAAAAGUCAACAUGCAAGUUCGUGGCUCAUGAUAAGAGAUUGGCUUACCUGGGGGUCGAUAAAUACUCCGGGAAGAAGUGAGAAACGACCGCGGAAAAUUUUGCCGAAAACAGUUCUCUCUCGGAGGGGGCUGUUUAUGGACAAGGGCAAAAUGGUCAUUUUCAAUAUGUCAAACCAUAGUGAAAAUGACAGGUGCGGAACGGGCUCGAUGAGACGAAGAUGUGGGCGUUGGAUUUACCACAAUCGGAGUUACGGUUGUCGAGAUAUGAAGGGUUGAAGUUCAAGGACCUAUCG